CUGAUUGACCUGGCUCCUUCUCUGAGUUCUUAUGGUCAAAUGGCCAAUGCACAUGUAUGGCCCCACAGAUAUUCUUGAAAGAAAGUAUGGGUGCCACCUGGUCCCCUCAACAGUGUGUUUGCUCUUAUACACUGCACUGCAAUUUGCAACUAUGUGGGUUCUACCAUAUAGUUGUCAUUAAAGGAAUCCUCCCAAAAUGGACAAAUGGCAUGAUUAUAUUCCUGAAGAAUUAUGUAGCAGGUUCUGGUUGGAAACAUAAGGAUCCAACCUUACGAAAGGAAAGAGCCAGUGAAGUAACCUGAAAACCAAGCAAGUGUGAGGAGGUGUCAUAAA
rnacentral:lncRNA from 1 species